rnacentral:rRNA from 1 species
GGGUUGUGAGGUUAAGCGACUAAGCGUACACGGUGGAUGCCCUGGCAGUCAGAGGCGAUGAAGGACGUGCUAAUCUGCGAUAAGCGUCGGUAAGGUGAUAUGAACCGUUAUAACCGGCGAUUUCCGAAUGGGGAAACCCAGUGUGUUUCGACACACUAUCAUUAACUGAAUCCAUAGGUUAAUGAGGCGAACCGGGGGAACUGAAACAUCUAAGUACCCCGAGGAAAAGAAAUCAACCGAGAUUCCCCCAGUAGCGGCGAGCGAACGGGGAGCAGCCCAGAGCCUGAAUCAGUGUGUGUGUUAGUGGAAGCGUCUGGAAAGGCGUGCGAUACAGGGUGACAGCCCCGUACACAAAAAUGCACAUAUUGUGAGCUCGAUGAGUAGGGCGGGACACGUGGUAUCCUGUCUGAAUAUGGGGGGACCAUCCUCCAAGGCUAAAUACUCCUGACUGACCGAUAGUGAACCAGUACCGUGAGGGAAAGGCGAAAAGAACCCCGGCGAGGGGAGUGAAAAAGAACCUGAAACCGUGUACGUACAAGCAGUGGGAGCACGCUUAGGCGUGUGACUGCGUACCUUUUGUAUAAUGGGUCAGCGACUUAUAUUCUGUAGCAAGGUUAACCGAAUAGGGGAGCCGAAGGGAAACCGAGUCUUAACUGGGCGUUAAGUUGCAGGGUAUAGACCCGAAACCCGGUGAUCUAGCCAUGGGCAGGUUGAAGGUUGGGUAACACUAACUGGAGGACCGAACCGACUAAUGUUGAAAAAUUAGCGGAUGACUUGUGGCUGGGGGUGAAAGGCCAAUCAAACCGGGAGAUAGCUGGUUCUCCCCGAAAGCUAUUUAGGUAGCGCCUCGUGAAUUCAUCUCCGGGGGUAGAGCACUGUUUCGGCAAGGGGGUCAUCCCGACUUACCAACCCGAUGCAAACUGCGAAUACCGGAGAAUGUUAUCACGGGAGACACACGGCGGGUGCUAACGUCCGUCGUGAAGAGGGAAACAACCCAGACCGCCAGCUAAGGUCCCAAAGUCAUGGUUAAGUGGGAAACGAUGUGGGAAGGCCCAGACAGCCAGGAUGUUGGCUUAGAAGCAGCCAUCAUUUAAAGAAAGCGUAAUAGCUCACUGGUCGAGUCGGCCUGCGCGGAAGAUGUAACGGGGCUAAACCAUGCACCGAAGCUGCGGCAGCGACGCUUAUGCGUUGUUGGGUAGGGGAGCGUUCUGUAAGCCUGUGAAGGUGUGCUGUGAGGCAUGCUGGAGGUAUCAGAAGUGCGAAUGCUGACAUAAGUAACGAUAAAGCGGGUGAAAAGCCCGCUCGCCGGAAGACCAAGGGUUCCUGUCCAACGUUAAUCGGGGCAGGGUGAGUCGACCCCUAAGGCGAGGCCGAAAGGCGUAGUCGAUGGGAAACAGGUUAAUAUUCCUGUACUUGGUGUUACUGCGAAGGGGGGACGGAGAAGGCUAUGUUGGCCGGGCGACGGUUGUCCCGGUUUAAGCGUGUAGGCUGGUUUUCCAGGCAAAUCCGGAAAAUCAAGGCUGAGGCGUGAUGACGAGGCACUACGGUGCUGAAGCAACAAAUGCCCUGCUUCCAGGAAAAGCCUCUAAGCAUCAGGUAACAUCAAAUCGUACCCCAAACCGACACAGGUGGUCAGGUAGAGAAUACCAAGGCGCUUGAGAGAACUCGGGUGAAGGAACUAGGCAAAAUGGUGCCGUAACUUCGGGAGAAGGCACGCUGAUAUGUAGGUGAAGUCCCUUGCGGAUGGAGCUGAAAUCAGUCGAAGAUACCAGCUGGCUGCAACUGUUUAUUAAAAACACAGCACUGUGCAAACACGAAAGUGGACGUAUACGGUGUGACGCCUGCCCGGUGCCGGAAGGUUAAUUGAUGGGGUCAGCGCAAGCGAAGCUCUUGAUCGAAGCCCCGGUAAACGGCGGCCGUAACUAUAACGGUCCUAAGGUAGCGAAAUUCCUUGUCGGGUAAGUUCCGACCUGCACGAAUGGCGUAAUGAUGGCCAGGCUGUCUCCACCCGAGACUCAGUGAAAUUGAACUCGCUGUGAAGAUGCAGUGUACCCGCGGCAAGACGGAAAGACCCCGUGAACCUUUACUAUAGCUUGACACUGAACAUUGAGCCUUGAUGUGUAGGAUAGGUGGGAGGCUUUGAAGUGUGGACGCCAGUCUGCAUGGAGCCGACCUUGAAAUACCACCCUUUAAUGUUUGAUGUUCUAACGUUGACCCGUAAUCCGGGUUGCGGACAGUGUCUGGUGGGUAGUUUGACUGGGGCGGUCUCCUCCUAAAGAGUAACGGAGGAGCACGAAGGUUGGCUAAUCCUGGUCGGACAUCAGGAGGUUAGUGCAAUGGCAUAAGCCAGCUUGACUGCGAGCGUGACGGCGCGAGCAGGUGCGAAAGCAGGUCAUAGUGAUCCGGUGGUUCUGAAUGGAAGGGCCAUCGCUCAACGGAUAAAAGGUACUCCGGGGAUAACAGGCUGAUACCGCCCAAGAGUUCAUAUCGACGGCGGUGUUUGGCACCUCGAUGUCGGCUCAUCACAUCCUGGGGCUGAAGUAGGUCCCAAGGGUAUGGCUGUUCGCCAUUUAAAGUGGUACGCGAGCUGGGUUUAGAACGUCGUGAGACAGUUCGGUCCCUAUCUGCCGUGGGCGCUGGAGAACUGAGGGGGGCUGCUCCUAGUACGAGAGGACCGGAGUGGACGCAUCACUGGUGUUCGGGUUGUCAUGCCAAUGGCACUGCCCGGUAGCUAAAUGCGGAAGAGAUAAGUGCUGAAAGCAUCUAAGCACGAAACUUGCCCCGAGAUGAGUUCUCCCUGACCCUUUAAGGGUCCUGAAGGAACGUUGAAGACGACGACGUUGAUAGGCCGGGUGUGUAAGCGCAGCGAUGCGUUGAGCUAACCGGUACUAAUGAACCGUGAGGCUUAACCUUACAACGCCGAAGCUGUU